rnacentral:lncRNA from 1 species
GGCACGAACCAUGGCCCAGGACGUCGCACACCGUUACUCAUCACCGGCGAGCAACAACGACCACAGUGUCAAGACCCUCUUCUGCCCCUCAUUGCGCGAGAGAGGGAGAUCGUUCUCUCCUUCGUGGACCGCCUCCUGGCCGAGCUCAACCACCGCACCCGUCGGCCUCCAAGCUUGGUCCGCUGCGUCACCGGCGACCGUUGCUGUCUGAGGCGUUCAGCCCUUCUCCGAUCUCC